UACAGAGGUGGCAAGCGUUGUUCGGAAUUACUGGGCGUAAAGGGCGCGUAGGCGGUCUUCUAAGUCUUGUGUGAAAUCCCUCGGCUCAACUGAGGAACUGCACGGGAUACUGGAAGACUUGAGUUCGGGAGAGGGAAGCGGAAUUCCGGGUGUAGCGGUGAAAUGCGUAGAUAUCAGGAGGAACACCGGUGGCGAAGGCGGCUAUCUGGACAGAGUCUGACGCUGAGGCGCGAAAGCUAGGGGAGCAAACAGG
rnacentral:rRNA from 1 species